UUAAGUGACUAAGCGUACACGGUGGAUGCCUAGGCAGAAGAAGGCGAUGAAGGACGUAGUAACUUGCGAUAAGCCACGGGGAGCCAGUAAACAUGCUUUGAUCCGUGGAUUUCCGAAUGGGAAAACCCAUCCAAUAUGGAUAUCCUGCUUGCAGGAGGCUAACCCGGGGAACUGAAACAUCUAAGUACCCGGAGGAAAAGAAAUCAACCGAGAUUCCCUAAGUAGCGGCGAGCGAACGGGGACCAGCCCUUAAGCAUUUAUAAGAUUAGUAGAAUAGUCUGGAAAGUCUAACGAUACAAGGUGAUAGUCCUGUAUACGAAAAUCUUUUAAGUGUGAAAUCGAGUAAGACGGGACACGAGAAAUCCUGUUUGAACAUGGGGGGACCACCCUCCAAGGCUAAAUACUCUCUUCUGACCGAUAGUGAACCAGUACCGUGAGGGAAAGGCGAAAAGAACCCCUGAAGGGGAGUGAAAUAGAACCUGAAACCGUGUACGUACAAGCAGUAGGAGCAGACUUGUUCUGUGACUGCGUACCUUUUGUAUAAUGGGUCAGCGACUUACAUUAUGUAGCGAGAUUAACCGAAUAGGGGAGUCGUAGGGAAACCGAGUCUUAAAUGGGCGUUUAGUUGCAUGGUGUAGACCCGAAACCGGGCGAUCUAUCCAUGGCCAGGUUGAAGGUGCCGUAACAGGUACUGGAGGACCGAACCCACGUAUGUUGAAAAAUGCGGGGAUGAGCUGUGGAUCGGAGUGAAAGGCUAAUCAAGCCCGGAGAUAGCUGGUUCUCCUCGAAAACUAUUUAGGUAGUGCCUCAUGUCUUACUGUUGGGGGUAGAGCACUGUUAUGGUCUAGCGGUCCGUCAAGGAUUAGCAGCCCAUUGCAAACUCCGAAUACCAACAAGUACAAUCAUGGGAGACAGACUGCGGGUGCUAACGUCCGUAGUCAAGAGGGAAACAACCCAGACCGCCAUCUAAGGUCCCUAAAUAUUACUAAGUGGGAAAGGAUGUGGGAAGGCUCAGACAGUCAGGAGGUUGGCUUAGAAGCAGCCACCCUUUAAAGAAAGCGUAAUAGCUCACUGAUCGAGUCGGCCUGCGCCGAAGAUUUAACGGGGCUAAGUAAUAUACCGAAGAUGCGGAUGCAUGUUUACAUGCAUGGUAGAGGAGCGUUCUGUAAGCCUGCGAAGGGGCAUUGUAAAGUGUCCUGGAGGUAUCAGAAGUGCGAAUGCUGACAUGAGUAGCGAUAAAGGGAGUGAAAAGCUCCCUCGCCGAAAGACCAAGGUUUCCUACGCAACGUUAAUCGACGUAGGGUUAGUCGACCCCUAAGACGAGGCCGAGAGGCGUAGUCGAUGGGAAGCAGGUUAAUAUUCCUGCACUUUUUAUUACUGCGAUGGAGGGACGGAGUAGGCUAGAUCAGCUUGGCGAUGGUUGUCCAAGUUUAAGGAUGUAGGCAUGUAUCUUAGGCAAAUCCGGGAUACUUUAUGCUGAGACCUGAUGACGAGUCCUCUUUUGGACGAAGUGAUUGAUGCCAUGCUUCCAAGAAAAGCUUCUAAGCUUCAGGUAAUAAAAAAUCGUACCCCAAACCAACACAGGUGGUCAGGAUGAGAAUUCUAAGGCGCUUGAGAGAACUCGGGUGAAGGAACUAGGCAAAAUGGUACCGUAACUUCGGGAGAAGGUACGCCCCCUAAGGUGAAGGACUUGCUCCGUAAGCUUCUGGGGGUUGCAAUAAAAUGGUGGCUGCAACUGUUUACUAAAAACAUAGCACUGUGCAAAAUCGAAAGAUGACGUAUACGGUGUGACGCCUGCCCGGUGCCGGAAGGUUAAUUGAUGGGGUUAGCGUAAGCGAAGCUCUUGAUCGAAGCCCCGGUAAACGGCGGCCGUAACUAUAACGGUCCUAAGGUAGCGAAAUUCCUUGUCGGGUAAGUUCCGACCUGCACGAAUGGCGUAAUGAUGGCCACACUGUCUCCACCCGAGACUCAGCGAAAUUGAAAUCGCAGUUAAGAUGCUGCGUACCCGCGGCUAGACGGAAAGACCCCGUGAACCUUUACUACAGCUUUGCACUGGACUUUGAUACUAUCUGUGUAGGAUAGGUGGGAGGCUUUGAAGCAACAACGCCAGUUGAUGUGGAGCCAAUCUUGAAAUACCACCCUGAUAUUAUUGAGGUUCUAACCUAGGCCAGUGAAUCCUGGUCAGGGACAGUGUAUGGUGGGUAGUUUGACUGGGGCGGUCUCCUCCUAAAGAGUAACGGAGGAGCGCGAAGGUACCCUCAGCACGGUCGGACAUCGUGCAAUGAGCGCAAGAGUAAAAGGGUGCUUGACUGCGAGACUGACACGUCGAGCAGGUGCGAAAGCAGGUUCUAGUGAUCCGGUGGUUCUGUGUGGAAGGGCCAUCGCUCAACGGAUAAAAGGUACUCCGGGGAUAACAGGCUGAUACCGCCCAAGAGUUCAUAUCGACGGCGGUGUUUGGCACCUCGAUGUCGGCUCAUCACAUCCUGGGGCUGAAGUCGGUCCCAAGGGUAUGGCUGUUCGCCAUUUAAAGUGGUACGCGAGCUGGGUUUAGAACGUCGUGAGACAGUUCGGUCCCUAUCUGCCGUGGGCGUUGGAAAAUUGAGAGGGGCUGCUCCUAGUACGAGAGGACCGGAGUGGACGAACCGCUGGUGUUCGGGUUGUCAUGCCAAUGGCAUUGCCCGGUAGCUAUGUUCGGAAAGGAUAACCGCUGAAAGCAUCUAAGCGGGAAACCUGCCUCAAGAUAAGUUUUCCCUAGACUUUAAGUCUUCUGAAGGGCCGUUAGAGACUAUGACGUUGAUAGGCAAGGUGUGGAAGUGCAGUAAUGUAUGAAGCUAACUUGUACUAAUUACCCGUGAGGCUUAACU
rnacentral:rRNA from 1 species